CUCUCGGCCGCACUCUCUCUCUCCCCGACCUCACUCUCUCAUUCUCACCUUCUCCCUCUGCCAGCGCCGGAAACUCCAUCUCCGGCCACCAGCUCUUGUUACCGCCACCACCAAUCGACGCCGCACCCAAAACCGACCCAAGCCCGAGUCUCACCGUCGACAUGCAUCGCCUCCAGCCUCCGCACGGGUUCCUCGAAGCAGCGACGCCACUGCUCCUUGUCCUCCUCUGAUUUCCGGUCAUCACCUCGCCACAACGACGCCGCCGCCUGACUCAGCAAGCAACGAGGAGCAAAACCCAGAAGUUCCGCCACCCACCGAAGCCAGGAAACGCUGUGCUAGCUCGCCGGAACUCGAGGUUCUGCAUGUCUCCAUUCUCCGAUCUCCAGUCCGAAACGAGCCCAACCACCACCAUACAUGGAGUCAGCAUCUCUCCCCUUGACCAAAACCCGAUAACCCCGACCUCUAACUCUGACCAGAGCCUCCGCACGCACUACACGCGCCGGCGGCAGCACGUGAGCCACUGCAGCUCCGCCGCUCGUGUUGCCAUACCCCCAGGUCGUCACGAUUGGGUAAUUUCGUCACACCUCCCUAUACUUGAAUCCUGUAGUUUGAUUUGGACAGAAAACCCUAACUCUAUCGUUUGAAUUCCGGAUUGUGUGAGGUUAUGGAUUUCUGCAGUUUUGAGAGUUUUGGAAACGAGGAAGCCACUGCGUCAGUUUUGAUUACGACUGAAAGAGGGUGUUGAAACUGUUGUCGAUGGUGGAUUGCAGCAGCAACGACUUGAUUCCCAAUUUGGAAAAGAAGAAUGGACCGAGCGUGUGCACUUGGAUUUGGAUAAAGGAUCGAAAGUCGGGAACGAACCCGAAUGCGGGCAAGCACUCCAAUUCCAGUGUGCAGGUUUCGAGCAUGUGGUCGGGAAGCGUACAGGGGAGGCACAUGGCACGGCUUGGCGCAUUUCUCUUUAGUUUUAUCAAAAGAAGGUUUUGGUCCUUAAUCGGAUUUUGUAGUAGCUUGUUUAUUUACUUUUUAUUUAUUUCCUACUCGUUUACAAAAAUUCCGGGAGACCCGUAACCCUGGGGCGCGUCUCCCAUACUUGUCGUUACUUAGAGAUGUGUUUUAUUUUCCAAAUUGGGCUCCGAUCGCAAGCCCAAAACUCUUAGCCCAUUUCGAAUUCCGCUUUUGAAAAUGUGUUGUUAGGUUGCUAGAAUGAUUUGUCCAAGAAAGUGUUUUGUAAACCAACAACCUAAACUCAAAAGGCCUUGCGGUUUCGGGUUGAUGAGCUAUCGAGAUGCCAUUCGUGACAUGUCGAUUCCUCAUUGGCUCGGAGUCGCGGCGCUGUGGGACCCCCUCCCGGUCACUACAGUAAAGUGGUAUCAGAGCUCUAGGU